rnacentral:lncRNA from 1 species
UUUGAGUGUACAUACAUAGUGUGUUACAAUUAUAUUCUUAUUUUCUUCAGCAGUGAAUAUUUGCUGGUAUUUUUCUAUUUUAUAAUUGUAUGCAUUAUUUUUAGAUUUCUCAGUGAACAUCAGAAACCCCAUCUCUACAAGAAAUACAAUAAUUAGCCAGUUGUGUUGGUGUAUGUCUGUAGUCCCAGCUGGAGACUACUGGAGAGGCUGAAGUGGGAGGAUCGCUUCAACCCAGGAGGCAGAUAUAUAUACAAAUGGAAUAGAAGUGAGAGUCCAUAAAGAAACCCAUACAUCUAAGGCCACUUGAUUUUCAAGAAGGAUCCAAGAUUACUUUAUGGAGACAGAAUAGUCUCUUCGACCAAUACUGCUGGGACACCUAUACACAGACACACAACAUAAUGAAGUUAGAUUGUACCUCACCCUACACUUAAAAGUUAACUCAAAAUUCAUCAGUGACCUAAUGUAACAGCUAAACUAUAAAAGUAUUAGAAGAAAACAUAGAAGUAAAUCUUCCUGACUUUAUUUGGAAUGGAUUCUUCAAUGAAACAACAUAAGCAAAAGCAAAUAUAAAUACCUAAAUGGGACCUAGGUUUUAAAAAAUGCUGUGCAUACAUGGACAUUGUCAUGAACAUGAAAAGACCAUACAGCAUGAGUUCUACUAUCCAGAUUAUAUAAAGAAUUCUUACAACUCAAUAACAGAAACCACUCAAUUAAAAAAAUGGGCAAAGGGCUGGGUGCAGUGUCAUGCCUGUAAUUCCAGCACUUUGGGAGGCUGAGGUGGGCAGUUUACUUGAGGCCAGGAGUUCAAGACCAGCCUGGCCAACAUGGUGAAAGUCUGUCUUUACUAAAAAUACAACUAGCUGGAUGUGGUGGCCUCCUGGGCUCAAACCAUCCUUCCACCUCAGCCUCUUGAGCAGCUGAGACUACAGGCGUGCACCACAGCCUCUGGUUAAGUUUUGUAUUUUUUUAUAGAGAUGAGGUUCCUCCAUGUUGCCCAGGCUGGUCUCGAACUACUGCACUCAAGUAAUCUGCCCACCUCAGCCUCCCAAAGUGCUGGGAUUACAGGCAUGAGCCACUGCACUCAGCCUAAAAAAAAAAAAUCCUAAUUUUUAUGGGUACACAUAUGGAGUAUAUAUGUUGAUACAGGCAUACAAUGCAUAAUAAUCAUAUCAGGGUAAAUGGGGUAUCUGUUACCACAAGCAUUUAUCAGAUUUUUGUGUGUGUUAGAAACAAUCCGUACUCGUUUAGUUAUUUCAAAUGUACAAUAAAUUAUUAUUGACUGUAACUCUGUUGUGCUAUCAAAUACCAGAUCUUAUUCAUUCUAUCUAAGCAUAGUUUUGUACCCACUAACCAUCCCCACUUCCCUCACCACCAACCUUAACUUUCCCUCCCUCUGGUAACCAACAUUCUGCUCUCUGUCUCCAUGCAUUCAAUUGUUUUAAUUUUUAGCUCCUACAAAUAAGUGAGAAGAUGUGAAGUUUGUCUUUCUGUGCCUGACUUAUUUCACUGAAUGUAAUGUCCUUCCAAUUCCAUCCAUAUUGUUGCAAAUAACAAAAUCUCAUUCUUUUUGUGGCUGAAUAGUACUCCAUUGUGUAUAUGUCCAUUUCCUGUAUCCAUUCACCUGUUGAUGCAUACUUAGGUUGCUUCCAAAUUUUGGUUAUUGUGAAUAGUGCUGCAAUAAACAUUGCAGGGGAGGGUGCAGAUAUCACUUUGAUAUAGUUUUAAUUUUUUGAGGAACCUCCAUACUGUUCUCCGCAGUGGUUCUACUAAUUUACAUUCCCACCAACAAUGUGCGAGGAUUCCCUCCUUCACUCCUUCCACAUCCUCACCAACAUUUGAUAUUGCCUGUCUUUUGAAUAAAAGCUAUUUUAACUGGAGUGGGAUAUCUCAUGGUAGUUUUGAUUUGUAUUUAUCUGAUGAUCUAUGAUGUAGAGCACCUUUUCAUAUACCUGUUUGCCAUUUGUAUGCCCUCUUUUGAGAAAUGUCUAUUCAGAUAUUUUGCUCAUUUUAAAAUUGAUUUAUUAAAUUUUUUCCUAUUUGGUUUGAGCUUCUUAUAUUCUGGUUAUUAAUCCCUUGUCAGAUGGAUAGUUUGCAAAUAUUUUCUCCUAUUGUGUGGGUUGUCUCUUCACUUUGUUGAUUGCUUCCUUUGCUGUGCAGAAGCUUCUUAACUUGACGUGAUCCCAUUUGUCCAUUUUUG